rnacentral:rRNA from 1 species
CCUACGGGUGACAGCAGUGAGGAAUAUUGGUCAAUGGACGAGAGUCUGAACCAGCCAAGUAGCGUGAAGGAUGACUGCCCUAUGGGUUGUAAACUUCUUUUAUAUGGGAAUAAAACGUUCCACGUGUGGGAUUUUGUAUGUACCAUAUGAAUAAGGAUCGGCUAACUCCGUGCCAGCAGCCGCGGUACUACGGAGGAUCCGAGCGUUAUCCGGAUUUAUUGGGUUUAAAGGGAGCGUAGGUGGAUUGUUAAGUCAGUUGUGAAAGUUUGCGGCUCAACCGUAAAAUUGCAGUUGAAACUGGCAGUCUUGAGUACAGUAGAGGUGGGCGGAAUUCGUGGUGUAGCGGUGAAAUGCUUAGAUAUCACGAAGAACUCCGAUUGCGAAGGCAGUUCACUGGACUGCAACUGACACUGAGGCUCGAAAGUGUGGGUAUCAAACAGGAUUAGAUACCCUUGUAGUC